UGCAGUUCCAGGUUCAGCCUUGUUCUGCAAUUCAACGCGUCAGGUGAUAUGAUUGAUAUCUAAAAAUAGUAUCGGUGUUCAUAUUGUGAAACUGGUCUAUUAUUCGAUACUGAUUAAUUUGAUGAAUCAAGUUAAUUUUUGUUAAAUAUAUGUUAAAUAUUUAUGCCCCCUUCCGAAGAAGAGCAGGUUUAUUGUUUUGCACAUGUCGGUCCGAAUGUCCAUAUGUCUGUCCACCAGAUGGUUUCCGGAUGAUAACCCAAGAACGAUUUUGCCUAGGAUCAUGAAACUUCAUAGGUACAUUGAUCAUGACUCGAAGAUGACCCCUAUUGAUUUUCAGGUCACUAGGUCAAGGUCACAGUGACCCUAAAUAGUAAAAUGGUUUCCCGAUGAUAACUCAAGAACGCUUAUGCCUAGGAUCAUGAAACUUCAUAGGUACAUUGAUCAUGACUCGCAGAUGACCCCUAUUGAUUUUGAGGUCACUAAAUCGAAGGUCAAGGUCACGGUGACCCAAAAUAGUAAAAUGGUUUCCGGAUGAUAACUCAAGAACUUAUGCCUAGGAUCAUGAAACUUCAUAGGUACAUAGAUAAUGACUCGCAGAUGACCCCUAUUGACUUUCAGGUCACUAGGUCAAAGGUCAAGGUCACAGUGCCAAAAAAACGUAUUCACACAAUGGCUGCCACAACAAUUGACAAUCCAUAUGGGGGGCAUGCAUGUUUUACAAACAGCCCUUGUUUGAAAUUUAUUUAUGACAUUAAAGUAAUGUAUAGGGAAUUUAGUUACCUACACAUUCUUUGAAAAGAAAUUUGAAUUGUAAAUGUAUACUUCAUUUAUUUUGUAGGAAUUCUGUACAACUGUGGAACCAUGUAUGGUACGUGACCGCACAAUGUUGGUUGGCAAAAGGAUAUUGGAAUAAGCAAAGGGACUCAACAUUACACAGUCAUUUCAACAUGUAGAGUCUUGUCAGCAAUGAUGGAGCAGUACCUGGUACUUCAGAUUUCCAGAAUCUCGUCAUGAGCUGAAGAUCAUUGCCUAUGAAUUUCAUGAAUGAUGUAGAAUGAUUGGACUGUUGAUGGAACCCACAGUGCAUGUCCUGCUUCAACAUCUGAGCAUAGGUCCUUGUUUAUCAGCAGUUUAGUUCUUCAAGCAGUCUGUGACAGUAACUUGAAAUGUUUGGACAUAUGACCUGGAUGGCCAAGUUCUGUGCAUGCAGCCCAUUUAAAUAGGAACGGCCCAGUGGCGCAUUAAAUGGACAUUUUUCGAAUGUUCUCGAGGAUUCAGCUUACCGCCUGACAAAAAAUCUUGCUUUUUGUUCAGUAUCGAGGCCAUGGACAUUUGUAUCAUUUGCAAAAGAUACUGCGAUAUAUGUGCCUUUGUUCAUGCUUUAUAGUUGAUUAACAAUUGGAAGCCAUAACCUGUUUUAUAGGAUGGUGUUAGUGGGACAAUGAAUUUUGUAAAGAUUUAAAGACUGGAAAAGAUAAUUAAAAGUCAAAAGAGUUCUGCUAUUGUUAAGCAUGCUUUAUUGAUUUGUAAUGUUAGAAAGAUAGCAUUAUUAACAGAAUAAAAUGUCCAUAAUUUGAA